GACGAAGGGGGCUAGCGUUGUUCGGAAUUACUGGGCGUAAAGCGCGUGUAGGCGGUUGCCCAAGUCGGGUGUGAAAGCCUUGAGCUCAACUCAAGAAAUGCACUCGGUACUGGGUGACUAGAGGACCGGAGAGGAUAGUGGAAUUCCCAGUGUAGUGGUGAAAUACGUAGAGAUUGGGAGGAACACCAGUGGCGAAGGCGACUAUCUGGGCUGAAACUGACGCUGAGGCGCGAAGGCUAGGGGAGCAAACAGG
rnacentral:rRNA from 1 species